GACGUACGCUGGCGGCGUGCUUAACACAUGCAAGUCGAACGGAAAGGCCCUGCUUUUGUGGGGUGCUCGAGUGGCGAACGGGUGAGUAACACGUGAGUAACCUGCCCUUGACUUUGGGAUAACUUCAGGAAACUGGGGCUAAUACCGGAUAGGAGCUCCUGCUGCAUGGUGGGUGUUGGAAAGUUUCGGCGGUUGGGGAUGGACUCGCGGCUUAUCAGCUUGUUGGUGGGGUAGUGGCUUACCAAGGCUUUGACGGGUAGCCGGCCUGAGAGGGUGACCGGCGACAUUGGGCCUGCGAUACGGCCCAGACUACUACGGGAGGCAGCAGUGGGGAAUAUUGCACAAUGGGCGGAAGCCUGAUGCAGAAACGCCGCGUGCGGGAUGACGGCCUUCGGGUUGUAAACCGCUUUCGCCUGUGACGAAGCGUGAGUGACGGUAAUGGGUAAAGAAGCACCGGCUAACUACGUG
rnacentral:rRNA from 1 species